CUUUCAACAGCAGCAACAGUUCGUCAGCCACCUCGGUAGCUUGCUAGACAAAAUAGCCGAACCAAUAAAGCUCUUUAGACGCUUUCGUGGAUAUUAGCCACUGUGUUUAAUACCCACUACUGUCGUCUAGUUAGUUAUCCGAUUUAAUUUCAUAUUUACGGUGUUGUUGUUAUUAGUCAGCUAGCGGGCUCGUUAAGUUAGCAGUAGCCUAGCUAGCUAACAUCUCCGACCAUGAGCUCACUAAGCUACUAUCCUGCUAAAGAAGAGGUCUGCUGGGCGGAGAAACAGGGUCUGUGGCUGAACGUUGUCAUGAAAGAGGAAGAGGAGGCUGUCACAAUACAAAAACAAGUAGAGGGUGAGGCUGUUACAGUGAAAGAAGAAGAGAAAGACGCGUUCAGAGUGAAAGAGGAAGAGGACGUUACUGUGAAAGAGAGGAGGAAGUGAAAGAGGAUGAUGCAUGUUUUGGGGUGAAAGAGGAGGAGGGUGAGAUGACUGUCACAUUGGAUGAAGAGGAGGAAACUGGAUAUCUGGGCCUGGUUUCCCAAAGGCAUGUUAAGGCAUCCAAUGGUUCUAACGAUGAACAGGCCCUGGUUAACACUAGGGCAGUCAAGAAAUGGAACAGCAAGGCCACAGAACAUGACAUAAGCAGAGCUGUGGGAGACCACCUCAAGCCCCUGGUAGAGCCGGGGGUGGUGUUUACCACUCCACCACGCCUUCAGCAGGCUGGAAAUGUGGGAUUGGUAGUGUUUUUCAUACUAAGAUGGACCAAGAUAUGUGUUGCUUUUACACAUAUUUGUUAAUUGGUUUGGCAUGAGUCUUGAUUGGUCGGUCAUUGGGUUCGUCUUACAAUAUGUUCUAAUCAAAUCAAGCUUUGUUUAUACAGUACAUUUAAGACAUGGAUGCAACACAAUGGCUUCACAGGAAAAAAAUGAUAGAAGAAUUUAUAUGUUAAAGUAUUCCACCCUGAAACUGUAGAAUUGUGUUAAGAUCAUAAUCUGAUGAUGAUGUGUGUUUCAAAGUAGGUCAGAGAAAUAUUGACAGUUAGGAGGGAACAUGUCUGUGUGGGUUUGUCGGAAACAAGUUGAUCUAUUUCUCUGAAGACUGAGCUCCGAGAAGGGAAGUAAGCCAGGCGUUGCGAAACCAGAGGUUUCCUGUUUUGAGCUAGACUUGUCAGUUGCAGACAUGAAGAUAGAGGAACCCGGUUAGACAGAAAGAGCUAUCAAAGUAGAAAAUUGCGACAGAGUUAAAGAGGGGCAUUUAUAAAGUGUAUGAUAUAACCAAAUGUGAGGUAUAAAAGGCUAUGUACAUUGUAUGAUUUUUAGAAUAAAUAGAAUAGAAUAAAGGACUGAUCUAUUGCAGAA